UUGAAGAGUUUGAUCAUGGCUCAGAUUGAACGCUGGCGGCAGGCCUAACACAUGCAAGUCGAACGGUAGCACAGAGAGCUUGCUCUCGGGUGACGAGUGGCGGACGGGUGAGUAAUGUCUGGGAAACUGCCUGAUGGAGGGGGAUAACUACUGGAAACGGUAGCUAAUACCGCAUAACGUCGCAAGACCAAAGAGGGGGACCUUCGGGCCUCUUGCCAUCAGAUGUGCCCAGAUGGGAUUAGCUAGUAGGUGGGGUAACGGCUCACCUAGGCGACGAUCCCUAGCUGGUCUGAGAGGAUGACCAGCCACACUGGAACUGAGACACGGUCCAGACUCCUACGGGAGGCAGCAGUGGGGAAUAUUGCACAAUGGGCGCAAGCCUGAUGCAGCCAUGCCGCGUGUAUGAAGAAGGCCUUCGGGUUGUAAAGUACUUUCAGCGGGGAGGAAGGUGUUGUGGUUAAUAACCACAGCAAUUGACGUUACCCGCAGAAGAAGCACCGGCUAACUCCGUGCCAGCAGCCGCGGUAAUACGGAGGGUGCAAGCGUUAAUCGGAAUUACUGGGCGUAAAGCGCACGCAGGCGGUCUGUCAAGUCGGAUGUGAAAUCCCCGGGCUCAACCUGGGAACUGCAUUCGAAACUGGCAGGCUAGAGUCUUGUAGAGGGGGGUAGAAUUCCAGGUGUAGCGGUGAAAUGCGUAGAGAUCUGGAGGAAUACCGGUGGCGAAGGCGGCCCCCUGGACAAAGACUGACGCUCAGGUGCGAAAGCGUGGGGAGCAAACAGGAUUAGAUACCCUGGUAGUCCACGCCGUAAACGAUGUCGACUUGGAGGUUGUGCCCUUGAGGCGUGGCUUCCGGAGCUAACGCGUUAAGUCGACCGCCUGGGGAGUACGGCCGCAAGGUUAAAACUCAAAUGAAUUGACGGGGGCCCGCACAAGCGGUGGAGCAUGUGGUUUAAUUCGAUGCAACGCGAAGAACCUUACCUACUCUUGACAUCCAGAGAACUUAGCAGAGAUGCUUUGGUGCCUUCGGGAACUCUGAGACAGGUGCUGCAUGGCUGUCGUCAGCUCGUGUUGUGAAAUGUUGGGUUAAGUCCCGCAACGAGCGCAACCCUUAUCCUUUGUUGCCAGCGGUCCGGCCGGGAACUCAAAGGAGACUGCCAGUGAUAAACUGGAGGAAGGUGGGGAUGACGUCAAGUCAUCAUGGCCCUUACGAGUAGGGCUACACACGUGCUACAAUGGCGCAUACAAAGAGAAGCGACCUCGCGAGAGCAAGCGGACCUCAUAAAGUGCGUCGUAGUCCGGAUUGGAGUCUGCAACUCGACUCCAUGAAGUCGGAAUCGCUAGUAAUCGUAGAUCAGAAUGCUACGGUGAAUACGUUCCCGGGCCUUGUACACACCGCCCGUCACACCAUGGGAGUGGGUUGCAAAAGAAGUAGGUAGCUUAACCUUCGGGAGGGCGCUUACCACUUUGUGAUUCAUGACUGGGGUGAAGUCGUAACAAGGUAACCGUAGGGGAACCUGCGGUUGGAUCACCUCCUU
rnacentral:rRNA from 1 species